CUGGUUACUUCUUCAAAAAUGCUUGCUUGGCAAACCAACUUCUGUUUCAAACCACUGUCACCUCUGCUCAAUUAUAUCAAGCUUCACUGUCCCUUGUUACCACUUCCUUAAUAGUGGAUUUGAGCAUUUUCCUGAGAAUUGAUACCAGUCAAAGCCUACUUGUUCUAAUUUUCUCAUUGCCCCUCUUUCCUGAGUAGUAAUGUUCUAAGAAAUUCUUGAUGAUUACACCAAAUGCAUUCUUGUUUGGAAUAUGAGGAUGGGGACUACCAACUCCGAGGUCUUAGCACUGAACACAAGAGAUCUGUGGAUGCUGGAAAUCCAGAGCAACACAUACAAAUUGAUGAAGGAACACGAGUGGUCAUGCAGCAUCUAUGGAGGGGAGUACGCAGUGUUCUUCUCAGUCCAGGACCCUUCAUCAGAACUGAAAGGCAAUGAGGAAGAAGCCAGAAUAAGAAGUUAGAGGGAGGGGAAAGACUACAAAUUGACAGGUGAUAAGAGAAAUCAGACUCAAGGCACCAGCUAAACCUUACAGAAGCAUUCCGUAAGCAAUGGGAUAAUUACAAACCAGAAAUAAAACAAAGCACUGGUCUUAGAUUAGGCUGUGAGAGACUCUGGACAACUCUGGCCGUUCAUGUUUUGCACCUGUUACAAUUUCCCCAGAUACAGCAGGGAGCAAACCCUUUGAGCUGCACCGCUCAGCAAACCGACUUAAUCCGAGCCUAAUCACGGGACAAUUUACAAACUGGUACGUCUCUGGACUCUCGGAGGAAACCCAUGCGGUUACAGGAAGGACGUACAAAUUCACGGCGGGAACUGAACUGCACAGUCGCUGGAUAAUGUGUAAUGCUAACCACUACGCUACCGUGCCAUCCUUGCAUACCCUGCUGACAUCGAAAUUGGGGCCACCCAGGUUAUGAGGAGAGAGGGUGCCUUCAUUAUACUCUACUGGAGCUGCAACCAACCUUCUUCCAAGAUAAUCCCUCAGGAUUGACGGUCACCUCCUUUCCCUUCAGUCCUUACCAAUGUGAGCCCCACAGCCUCCUGAUUCACCCCAGAGCUGGAGACACUUCACAUCAGUGCGAUGGAUAAGGUAAUUUUCUGG